rnacentral:sRNA from 1 species
GCACGAUUUUCAGUUGGCCCGCUUCCCCUCGUGAUUAGGACAGACGCGGGCACUCUGGCCCAGCCGUCUUGGCUCAGUAUCUGCAGGCGUCCGUCUCGGGACGGAGCUCAGGGGAAGAGCGUGACUCCAGUUGAACGUGAUAGUCGGUGCGUUGAGAGGAGACCCAGUCGGGUGUCGAGUCAGAAGGGGCCCGGGGCCCGAGGCCCUGGGCAGGACGGCCCGUGCCCUGCAUCACGGGCCCAGCGUCCUAGAGGCAGGACUCUGGUGGAGAGUGUGAGGGUGCCUGGGGCCCCUCCGGAGCUGGGGCCGUGCGGUGCAGGUUGGGCUCUCGGCGCGGUGUUGGCUGUUUCUGCGGGAUUUGGAGGAAUUCUUCCAGUGAUGGGAGUCGCCAGUGACCGGGCACCAGGCUGUGUCUGAAACCAGCCCCAAAAUCUUCCCACUGACUCUGGGGAGCAGCGAGCCUGCCGGAUAUGUGGUCAUCGCCUGCCUGGUCCGGGACUUCUUCCCGUCAGAGC